GAAGAAGGGAUCUGAACAUAAACCUAAGGCUGAGGAACUAAUCAAAGGCAAGUGGGAACACCUGAGGAASUAAACUAAGAGCAGGUAUGGAGCUCACCUCAAUAGAGGAGAACACAGACAGGAAAAAGAUCAAAACACAAGGAAAACCUAAAGGAUAUCACAGGCUUUCACAAUAGCCUGUGGCACCCGUUUGAUCAGCACGAAAGCUUGAUGAUGAACACCUCUCUGCGCCGCUCUAACUGCAGCAGGGAAGGAAGCACAAGCUUACCAUUUUUGGCUCAAAGUGCCUUGAAUUUCCACAUUAUUCUGUGUAUGCAGAGUUUCAACAAAUUACAAACCAAAACCUGCCCUGCACAAGUUGAGUCGUCUGAUGACCUUAUUUGGACAAAAGACAUAAAAAACUGGGAACAUGGAUGCUUUGGACGACGGACAGGACAGUCUGAAAUGCCCGGGAAAUCUCCCCAGUGAGGCAUCCAGGCAGCAUCGUUAUCAGAUGCUUGAACCACUUCUGUUGGCGCCUCUCGAUGUGGAGGAGCAGCGGCUCUGCUCUGAAGAUCAACGGAGGAGGGAAAAUAUAUUGGACCUGUGACCACAGUGACCUGUCCAGGGUUUACCCUGCCACUCACGCUGUGGCUGCUGGAUAUGGGCAUCAGUGACCCCCGUGA